rnacentral:rRNA from 1 species
UUUAUUAGUAUCAAAAUCAACCGGCGCAAGCCGUUUGUUUGAUGACUCUGGAUAACUUUGCUGAUCGCACGGCCUAGAGCCAGCGACGUAUCUUUCAAGUGUCUGCCCUAUCAACUAUGGAUGGUAGGUUACUUGCCUACCAUGGUUAUAACGGGUAACGGGGAAUCAGGGUUCGAUUCCGGAGAGGGAGCCUUAGAAAUGGCUACCACAUCUAAGGAAGGCAGCAGGCGCGCAAAUUACCCACUCUCAGUACGAGGAGGUAGUGACGAAAAAUAACAAUACGGGACUCUAAUGAGGCCCCGUAAUUGGAAUGAGUACAAUUUAAAUCGUUUAACGAGUACCAAUUGGAGGGCAAGUCUGGUGCCAGCAGCCGCGGUAACUCCAGCUCCAAUAGCGUAUAUUAAAGCUGCUGCAGUUAAAAAGCUCGUAGUUGGAUUUCAGGCAUGGAUCCGGUGGUUCACGGUUGUGUUUCUGCUGGUUUCCGCCUAAUCAGCUGUAUGUUGUUUCUGGUGCUCUUUACCAGGUGCCAGAAAUGCUCAGCACGUUUACUUUGAACAAAUUAGAGUGCUCAAAGCA